CCUACGGGAGGCAGCAGUAGGGAAUAUUGCUCAAUGGGGGAAACCCUGAAGCAGCAACGCCGCGUGGAGGAUGAAGGUUUUCGGAUUGUAAACUCCUUUUGUUAGAGAAGAUAAUGACGGUAUCUAACGAAUAAGCACCGGCUAACUCCGUGCCAGCAGCCGCGGUAAUACGGAGGGUGAAAGCGUUACUCGGAAUCACUGGGCGUAAAGAGCGCGUAGGCGGGAUAGCAAGUCAGAUGUGAAAUCCUAUUGUUUAACCAUAGAACUGCAUUUGAAACUGUUAUUCUAGAGUAUGGGAGAGGUAGGUGGAAUGCUUGGUGUAGGGGUAAAAUCCGUAGAGAUCAAGAGGAAUACUCAUUGCGAAGGCGACCUGCUAGAACAUAACUGACGCUGAUGCGCGAAAGCGUGGGGAGCAAACAGGAUUAGAUACCCUGGUAGUC
rnacentral:rRNA from 1 species